ACAUCGCCUCUUGAUCUCUAAACAUAAGAGGUCCCGCCUGCCCUGUGACUAUAAGUUUAACGGCCGCGGUAUCUUAACCGUGCAAAGGUAGCGCAAUCACUUGUCUUUUAAAUGAAGACCUGUAUGAAUGGCAUAACGAGGGCUUAGCUGUCUCCCCCCUCCAGUCAAUGAAACUGACCUCCCCGUGCAGAGGCGGGGAUUAUUACAUAAGACGAGAAGACCCUGUGGAGCUUUAGACCUAAAGUAGUGCAUGUCUAAAAUACUAGAAAAUAAGAAAAAACCCAAUGCCCCCUACUGAAGUGUCUUUGGUUGGGGCGACCGCGGGGUAAAACAAAACCCCCAUGUAGACCGGGGAAACAUCCCUAAAACCCAGAGCAACCACUCUAAGAAACAAAACCUUUGACUUUUUCUGAUCCGGCAUAGCCGAUCAACGAACCGAGUUACCCCAGGGAUAACAGCGCAAUCCUCUCUCAGAGCCCAUAUCGACGAGGGGGUUUACGACCUCGAUGUUGGAUCAGGACAUCCUAAUGGUGCAGCCGCUAUUAAGGGUUCGUUUGUUCAACGAUUAAAGUCCUACGUGAUCUGAGUUCAGACCGGAGUAAUCCAGGUCAGUUUCUAUCUAUGAUAAGCCCUUUUCCAGUACGAAAGGACCGAAUUCUAAAGGGGGGCCUAUACUAACAGCACGCCCCUCCCCCUCCCGCUGACAUCAUAUAAAGCGGAUAAGGGGGCUUAACCCUUACCCAAAAAUAAUGGAAU
rnacentral:rRNA from 1 species